rnacentral:lncRNA from 1 species
UCGAUCGUAUAACACGAUUUUAAAUUUGAUCUUAACAUGUUUAUUUUCAGAACAUAAAUACAAAUUUGUUGUGUUAAAUCAAAUUAUCUCAACAUCAAGCAAAGAACGAUCGAGGUUUAUCUUGCAUUACCAACAUGCUAGGAGAUAAUCAGAGGGUGCAUGGUGGGUAAACGAAAGAAAUACCAAACUACCAAAAGAACCAGACCAAAGAACAAACCCCUUAUGAAUACAGGGGUGUAAUUAUCAAAUUGUCCAAUUUGUAAAUGAGAAAACAAAGAUCACAUUUUUCAAGCCAACUAUAGACAGUAACAGGCGAUUCUAUUUUAUUGCAUUUGUUUAAACAUAAUUCUCGUCCUACAUUUCUUCCUUCUAAGGGAGAAGAUUGCCAAAAGAGAAAACCUGAAAAGGAAGGUAGAACAAAAAGGAACAAAUCAAAUGUCAUUUUCACCUUUUUCUCAUCUCAUAUCUAGUUUCAACAAUAUUUACAUAUAAAACCUACAGUUACCUAUUAUGAUAAUCUCCUCCAAGGAAAAUAGUUAAGUAGAGAAUGUAAGAACCUGUAUAUAAUCCGCUGCCUCCACAAUCNNNNN